GGCUCAGGACGAACGCUGGCGGCGUGCCUAACACAUGCAAGUCGAGGGGUUUGGUAGCAAUACUGAAUCACUGGCGCACGGGUGAGUAACGCGUAGAUAAUCUGCCCUUAGCUCUGACAUAACGUCGAGAAAUUGACGCUAAUAUCAGAUGAUGCCGCAAGGUCAAAGAGUAAUCGGCUAGGGAUGAGUCUGCGUUAGAUUAGCUAGUUGGCGGGGUAAUGGCCCACCAAGGCGACGAUCUAUAGCUGGUCUGAGAGGACGAUCAGCCACACUGGAACUGAGACACGGUCCAGACUCCUACGGGAGGCAGCAGUGAGGAAUUUUCCACAAUGGGCGCAAGCCUGAUGGAGCGACGCCGCGUGAGGGACGAAGGGGCUAUGCCUUGUAAACCUCUGUCGGAAGGGAAGAAUGAGACCCUCGGGGUCUUUGGACAGUACCUUUAAAGGAAGGAUCGGCUAACUACGUGCCAGCAGCCGCGGUAAUACGUAGGAUCCAAGCGUUGUCCGGAAUUACUGGGCAUAAAGGGAGCGUAGGCGGAUUUGUGCGUCAGAGGUGAAAUCCCACAGCUUAACUGUGGAACUGCCUUUGAUACGGCGAAUCUUGAGUGUGAGAGAGGCGAGUAGAAUUCCAGGUGUAGCGGUGAAAUGCGUAGAUAUCUGGAGGAAUACCAGUGGAGAAGUCGGCUCGCUGGCUCACAACUGACGCUGAGGCUCGAAAGCGUGGGGAUCAAACAGGAUUAGAUACCCUGGUAGUCCACGCCCUAAACGAUGUAUGCUUGGCGUCGAGACAGCAAUGUCCCGGCGCCGUAGGAAAUCUGUUAAGCAUACCGCCUGGGGAGUACGAUCGCAAGGGUGAAACUCAAAG
rnacentral:rRNA from 1 species